CGAAAGUUAGAGGUGCGAAGACGAUCAGAUACCGUCCUAGUUCUAACCAUAAACGAUGCCAGCCAGCGAUCCGGCUGCGUUCCUCAAAUGACGCGCCGGGCAGCUUCCGGGAAACCAAAGCUUUUGGGUUCCGGGGGAAGUAUGGUUGCAAAGCUCGAACUUAAAGGAAUUGACGGAGGGUCACACCAGCAAUGGAGCUUGCGGUUCAAUUUGACUCAACGCAGUGAACCCUACCAGGCCAGGACACAGGGAGGAUUGACAGAUUAAGAGCUCUUUCUUGAUUUUGUGGGUAGUGGUGCAUGGCCGCUCGUAGUUCGCGAAGUGAUUUGUCUGGUUUAUUCUGAUAACGGACGAGGCUCUAGCCUACUAAAUAGACGUCGGAUCCACCCGAGUCCGACGUAUCUUCUUAGAGGGACUGGCGGCGUUUAGCCGCACGAGGCAGAGCAAUAGCAGGUCUGUUAUGCCCUUAGAUGUCCUGGGCCACACGCGUGCUACAUUGAAGGGAUCAUCGUGUGCUUUCCCUUUCCGAGAGGAAUGGGUAACCCGUUGAACCUCCUUCGUGAUGGGGAUAGGGGCUUGAAAUUAUCCCCCUUGAACGAGGAAUUGCUAGUAAGCGUGAGUCAUUAUCUCGUGUUGAUUAGGUCCCUGGCCCUUGUACACACCGCCCGUCGCUAUUACAGAUUGAAUGUCUUAGUGAGGACUUCGGAUUGGCUGUCGAUUUGGCUUUAGGGUCGAGCCGACGUGCCGAAAAGAUGCCCGAACUUGGUCAUUUAGAUGAAAUAAAAGUCGUAACAAGG
rnacentral:rRNA from 1 species